UGGCUCAGGACGAACGCUGGCGGCGUGCCUAAUACAUGCAAGUCGAACGAACGGAGGAAGAGCUUGCUCUUCCAAAGUUAGUGGCGGACGGGUGAGUAACACGUGGGCAACCUGCCUGUAAGUUGGGGAUAACUCCGGGAAACCGGGGCUAAUACCGAAUGAUAAAGUGUGGCGCAUGCCACGCUUUUGAAAGAUGGUUUCGGCUAUCGCUUACAGAUGGGCCCGCGGUGCAUUAGCUAGUUGGUAGGGUAAUGGCCUACCAAGGCAACGAUGCAUAGCCGACCUGAGAGGGUGAUCGGCCACACUGGGACUGAGACACGGCCCAGACUCCUACGGGAGGCAGCAGUAGGGAAUCUUCCGCAAUGGACGAAAGUCUGACGGAGCAACGCCGCGUGUAUGAAGAAGGUUUUCGGAUCGUAAAGUACUGUUGUUAGAGAAGAACAAGGAUAAGAGUAACUGCUUGUCCCUUGACGGUAUCUAACCAGAAAGCCACGGCUAACUACGUGCCAGCAGCCGCGGUAAUACAC
rnacentral:rRNA from 1 species